rnacentral:lncRNA from 10 species
GUCUGCAUCACGCGUUUCCUCAGAGUCUCCUCAGGCUGGGAUUCUGCUUAAAAGUCACGUCCUCUAAGGCUCCUCGCUGGCCUUCCCCACCACAUUGAUGUCCAGAUGAAGAAACAAAAGUUCUGAGAGGUCUUCAGGAACUUGUAUAUAAUUACAGAGCAGCUGUGCGGCAUCCCCCCGCGCCGUCUCCAUGGAGAACCUGACCCCUCAUUCGUGGGGCGGAAACUCACCUGAGCUGAGCUCCAGGGCAUCUCCGCGGGGAAGCGGGGAGCCCACCCCUGUUGGACGCAGAUGAAGAUGCCAAGGGGAGCCUGGCUGACCAUGGAGCCAUCAUGGAGGGAGGCAGAGCUGAGGGCGUGGGGAGGUCCCAGCUGCAUCACAGGAGCCCCUGGAUCCAGCCGCACCUGAAGGUAGCUACCCUUGCACCUCUGAGUUACAUGAACCAAUAAAUCCCUUUCAUUCUU